CGCGGAGGAGAUCCCCCAGCCGGGCGCGCGUGGGGGUGCGAGGGGGGCGGGCGCGUGUGAGCGCGUGUGUGCGCGUGUGGGAGUGUGCUCGGUGUGUGCGCUUGGCGCUCUGGGCCGGACUGUGCAGCUAUUUCCCCGCGUGAGCCUUCGCUUGCUCGCUCCCUCCUCACUUUCUCUCUCUCUCACUGGUUGGUCAACAAUAAAAAAGGAAGGGGGGCGAAAGGUUUCCAAAAAAAGUUGAUUGCAAAGAGGCGGUAGGUUUCCGGCCUCUCCCCGCAGCCGGGCUAUGUUCUGCUCCUUCUUCAGUUUCCUUGCACCUCCAGUCCAAAUCGGGAGGGGAGCGGGGCGGGGGGAGCUUCUCGCUUCUCCCCGGAUCCCGUCCUUCUUUUUCCUCUCAGCUUUCCUCACACUUGUCCGGCGGCUGCGGUAAUUAAAGCUCCGAGCGUCAUUUCCAGCGCUCCGCGGUCUCCAGCUGCAGCCCACAGAGAAAUUAAUAAGACUCCAGA
rnacentral:lncRNA from 10 species